rnacentral:lncRNA from 1 species
GGAUAUGAACAUCGGUAGUAAGUUACGUAAGGAAGGGCAUGCAAUUCUACUUAACACUGCGAGGGAUUAUUAUAAGAAAGUUCCAAAAUCACAUGAGGCAAGGCUUAAGGAAAUGCUUGAGGGAUUUAAGACAUUUAAAGAA